rnacentral:rRNA from 1 species
ACUGAGCGGCGGACGGGUGAGUAACGCGUGGGUAACCUGCCUCGUACAGGGGGAUAACAGUUGGAAACGGCUGCUAAUACCGCAUAAGCGCACAGUACCGCAUGGUACGGUGUGAAAAACUCCGGUGGUAUGAGAUGGACCCGCGUCUGAUUAGUAGUUGGUGGGGUAACGGCCUACCAAGCCGACGAUCAGUAGCCGACCUGAGAGGGUGACCGGCCACAUUGGGACUGAGACACGGCCCAA